AACGAACGCUGGCGGCAUGCCUAACACAUGCAAGUCGAACGAGACCUUCGGGUCUAGUGGCGCACGGGUGCGUAACGCGUGGGAAUCUGCCCUCUGGUACGGAAUAACUCAGGGAAACUUGAGCUAAUACCGUAUAAUGACUUCGGUCCAAAGAUUUAUCGCCUGAGGAUGAGCCCGCGUAGGAUUAGCUUGUUGGUGAGGUAAAGGCUCACCAAGGCGACGAUCCUUAGCUGGUCUGAGAGGAUGAUCAGCCACACUGGGACUGAGACACGGCCCAGACUCCUACGGGAGGCAGCAGUGGGGAAUAUUGGACAAUGGGCGAAAGCCUGAUCCAGCAAUGCCGCGUGAGUGAUGAAGGCCUUAGGGUUGUAAAGCUCUUUUACCCGGGAUGAUAAUGACAGUACCGGGAGAAUAAGCCCCGGCUAACUCCGUGCCAGCAGCCGCCGUAAAAC
rnacentral:rRNA from 1 species